CCAUCCAUCCAAUCUCUGUGGCCCACGUAUGGUGACAAUGGUAGCUGCACUUGUCAGAGAGGCAUAGCUGUGGUGAUGUUUACACUGGCCCACUCACUGUUGUGGACCAGAAACUAUGUCACGUGGAUGUCAACUAUACUCCAGUACAAUAAUAUCAAGUCACUGAAGCCCAGCCUUGCAGAGUACCACCUGGGGGGCUCACAGUGUCACAGGCUGGAGAGGGGGAUCCUCAAGUACCGGGGUCUGGGCAGGUGCAGCUCUCCGGGCCACUGGGCUCUCGAGGCUGGUUCAGUCACCUGCCAGAGCCAGGGAGGGGGUCGGAGAGCCCUUGCUCUGGGCAGAGGUGAAGGGGGUAGUCUAGACAUUGCUCCCAAAUCCUGUGUAGGUGUGUGAGUUCUGCUGCUGCUGGCUAUGAGUCUUAGCAUGUCUCUGGGCCCCCUGGGCCUGACUCCUCACCACCUGGUCACUGUGAGGAUAGUGGAGAAAGGUGAGUUCACAAAGCGCCUGCCGCCUGGGGGCCUCAGUAAGGGUAGCUGCCACAAAGAAGGUGGAUGUGACGGGGUACCAUCUCCGGAGAACGGUCCAGGCCCACUGCUCCCCAAACCUGCCCCACCCUGCCCAGAUCACUAUCAGCACCACUGUCUUUGGAGAAGUGGAUGUCAAGACAGGAUUAGACCUUCAGGAGGUUCAUGGAAGGGAACCGGUGAGAGGAUUCCGCCAGCUGCUAAGGAGAUCUGUUGAUUCUUCAGCCAAGGGCCAGGAAGAGGACACCAUGCAUGGCAUAAGUCACGAGGAGGACGUGUGCCAGCAAUGUUUGUUACCUUGCCUCUGUCUGUCCCCACGCUAAUGGAUGAUCACCAUCACAUUAUCUGCCCUGUUAUCAAUGGCAGCUCAGCAGACCCUGUAUCAGAGAAAUGCUGCUAAUAUUGGAGUACUUCCCUUUCUUCAGGAUCUCAGUAUCAUUUGAGGAAGGAGUGAGGGAAUGGGUUCUAUGAAUACAUGUACGAUUGCCUUCAGAGUCUUUGCUUGAGGUGAUCUUACUUCCACUUCAGUCAGUGAGUCUGGGUCUGAGAACUGGUCUAGGUCUGGACACGGGGGUGAGAGGGUCACAAUUUCCCAUUGCAGCCACUAACAUUGUUCUUGAGAGCUUUUUUGCUUGCACAAAUCGUGCUUGCCCUCAGAUACUCAUCUGUCUCUCUCAUAGCAACAUGUUCUAGUAGACAUCUUCCCCUGUGGCUGAAAGGUUACUGGGUGG